UGCCCUGUGCCAUCUACGUGUUCUUCGUAUCUUCUCUAAACCGCUUGGUGUCCUACAUCUCUUCCACCUUCUCGAUCUUCAUCGUCUGCUUCUUUCAUUUGCUUCGACUUCAGGAAGGUGUCGUUUCAUCCUCCCGCUUCCACCUUGGUUUAAUCCUCCACCGGCUUCUGCCUCAAGAAACUUCGGACCACCUUCUCCACCCUUCUAAUUUGUCGGCUCCAGGACGGAAACGAGAGAACGAAGCAAUCAGCAAACGACAGUGGCGGUGGUGUUGUUAUUUAGAGUUAGGAAUGGAAGGGUUCUGUCCCAUACCACCGGUUUGGGUUCCCAAGUAUGGCUUUUUAGCGAGAUGGAUGUCAGCGGCCAUCUUCACCGGUCGUCGAUCCAGAGGUUCAGCUCUAGGUAAAUCAGCUUAUAGUCAGAUUCUUCUACACCGCCACCAUCCCCAAAUCACCCAAAUUUUAUGAGUGUUUCUUCGGCUCCUUCUCUAUGCUCUUCUCUUGCCUACCAAUUGAGUUUUUCUCUUUUCCUAUUUUCCUCAUCUGCAGUUAUAUGAGUGUGAUUUUUUUUAAAAAAAAAUUCGUAGAUUAGGGAGCAAGAAUAGGGGCAGAAGGGAAGGUAUAAGAUGUACACAGAUGCAGGUGUGUCUCUUCUGUUUUCCAUAUCUUAGACACGUGUCCACAAAUGCAAUUGAUACGUGUUCUCCCCCAAUCGAUCUACAAAUGUUUAUGUCAAUUACCUCAUCUACCUAAUCAUUGUUGCUUAAUCCAUCUUCUAUUUGAUGAUAUUUCCACAAGCCCUCGAAUUCCAGAAAAUAUCUACAAAAAAAUCGGGGAACAAUCGACGGUGGGUAUAUACUAUCUUCUUUUAGGUUUUUUUAGGGUUUUUUACUGGGUAUUGUUGGAUUUCUACUAUUAAUGGGUUGAUGUUUGUUUAUUGUAUCGUUGUUGUGCUACCUUCAACUUCAUUUGGUACUAAAGUGAAAGGAGAAGAGAGAGAGAAGAAAAGAAGGCAUCGACAGAAGUGAAUGGAACUCAAUCCUAUGCAUACAAUUCUUGAUGCAAUUUUUAAAUGAUAGAUUACAACAUCCUCUUUUUUUCAUUAUCUUGAGUUCAAUUUUUCAUUUGAUCUAAAUAUUAGUGCUUUAUUCUUAUUUUUUUUUCCACUUUAGGUCCUGACAGUUAUGGUGAUAAAGAUGGUGCAGAUGGAAUCCUAUGUGUGUUGUCUCAGAUGUGCAACGAACGUUGGUUUCUUCUACAUGAAGCCGAUUUGUUAACCUUAACAACCCCUAAAAGCACAGUUCACAAUUGCAACAUAAUCCGUUUUGGGAUGCAUUUGGAGAGUCAUAUGAAGCAGCAAUUUCUAGAGCAGUCUCGAAUAAGCAAAUAGAACCUCAGCCACGUACCUCCUUACCCUUUCUUUACCUUUAAUAAGUUAUCUUUUCUUUGCAGUCUGCCUCUUCAAUUAGAACACAACUCAAAGGCACCGGUAAUUGUUGAUUUGUUUAACAAACGCACCUGACAUUCUUUGAUUUAUAAUUUACUGUUACUUUGGUUAAGUCAAUGACAAAAAAAAGUUGUUCAAGAAGUUGCCUACAUUUAUUUAUGCUGAAGAAAUGGAUCUGGAGGUAUAAAUUUUAUGAUAUUCCUAUAAAAAUGUAUGAAACAUGGAAGAAGCCUAUGGGACUAAUAUCCAUGUUUGAAGAUGGUUCAAAUUCUUCCAAAGCCACUGGUGUGAGAUUUACUAAUAAAAUUAAACUUCAACUGAGUUCUAAUUCUUGCUUUAGUGUUGCAAAACAAGCUUUCAAAGUUCACCAUUUUGCUGGAGAGAUCCAAUAUGAUGCUACAGGAAACUGUUAUCUAUUCAUAUAUAUGAUGCACAUCAUAACACAAAAGCAUCUAAGGAAGCUACAAUAAUUACACACAUGUGUAUUGGUGAAUGUGCAUUUGGUUUUACCGGCUGGGAAUAAAUGGUUUAAAGAACAGAAAACCCAAAUGUGAUCACACAAUACAUAUAAUCCUUUAGAAGAAACCCAAAAGAUACAAGGGUGAUGAAAGAUUUUUUUUUAAUGGAAUGUAACAUCUGAAUAAGAGUAAAUACCUAUGCUAUUGAAGAAUGUGUAAGAAGAUUGCAAUAUUCAAAUGUUGAAGGUCAACUGAAGAAUCUUCUGCAAAGGAUUGAGACUAAAAACCCGAUUUAAUGUAAUCAGUUAAACGUAACUCAAUAAAAUAUUUCUGUUUUUUCCAUUUAUUUUGGGAGGUCAAAUCCCACAAAGCGGGGAAUCUUCCUAGUUGAUUAAGAUUUAUCAACUUUCCUUAGAACAUAUUACCAUUCAUUCAUUCCAACAAUCCACCAAAACAUAUUUUCAAAAUAGCUUCUAUACAUUUUCUUGAAAGAGUUUUACAUACCACCCCAAGUCCCAAAACAACAAAAUAAACCAAACCAAAACUCAUUUAAAAAAAAAAAAAAAAACAUUAUUAAGCAUCAACUAGACUAGUACCCCCUCCCUACACACACUACUUACUACACAAA